rnacentral:rRNA from 1 species
UCCCUCGCGAGGGAGGUUGACGGUACCGUACGAAUAAGGAUCGGCUAACUCCGUGCCAGCAGCCGCGGUAAUACGGAGGAUCCAAGCGUUAUCCGGAAUCAUUGGGUUUAAAGGGUCCGUAGGCGGGAUAAUAAGUCAGUGGUGAAAGUCUGCAGCUUAACUGUAGAAUUGCCAUUGAUACUGUUGUCCUUGAGUAAUUGUGAAGUGGUUAGAAUAUGUAGUGUAGCGGUGAAAUGCAUAGAUAUUACUUAGAAUACCGAUUGCGAAGGCAGAUCACUAAUAAUUUACUGACGCUGAUGGACGAAAGCGUAGGUAGCGAACAGGAUUAGAUACCCUGGUAGUCUACGCCGUAAACGAUGGUUACUAGCUGUUCGGCUCGAUUGAGAGCUGAGUGGCUAAGCGAAAGUGAUAAGUAACCCACCUGGGGAGUACGUUCGCAAGAAUGAAACUCAAAUGAAUUGACGGAACGCCGCCAA